GCCGUGGUGGUGAAAUUGGUAGACACGCUAGCUUCAGGAGCUAGUUCCAGCAAGGGAUUGGGAGUUCGAGUCUCCCCCGCGGCA
rnacentral:tRNA from 1 species